UACGGAGGGUGCAAGCGUUGUCCGGAAUCACUGGGCGUAAAGGGCGCGUAGGCGGCCUGGUAAGUAGGGGGUGAAAUCCUGCGGCUUAACCGCAGGGCUGCCUUCUAAACUGUCAGGCUUGAGCACGGUAGAGGCAGAUGGAAUUCCCGGUGUAGCGGUGAAAUGCGUAGAUAUCAAGAGGAACACCUGAGGUGAAGACGGGUUGCUGGGCUGACACUGACGCUGAGGCGCGAAAGCCAGGGGAGCAAACGGG
rnacentral:rRNA from 1 species